rnacentral:rRNA from 1 species
UACGGAGGGUGCGAGCGUUAAUCGGAAUUACUGGGCGUAAAGGGUGCGUAGGUGGUUUGAUAAGUUAGCUGUGAAAUUCCUGGGCUUAACCUGGGGUGGUCAGCUAAGACUGUUGAACUCGAGUAUGGGAGAGGGUAGUGGAAUUUCCGGUGUAGCGGUGAAAUGCGUAGAGAUCGGAAGGAACACCAGUGGCGAAGGCGGCUACCUGGCCUAAUACUGACACUGAGGCACGAAAGCGUGGGGAGCAAACAGG